GACGAGCCCUGACUUGGAUAUGAGAUAACGUGUGUACAUUGACCACUUGAACAUCUUGUACCCGUAAUCUUCAUAAUCCGAGCCAGGGCUCGCC
rnacentral:pre_miRNA from 1 species